UACGAGGGGGGGCGAGCGUUGUUCGGAAUUAUUGGGCGUAAAGGGUGCGUAGGCGGUUUGGUAAGUCUGAUGUGAAAUCUAUGGGCUCAACUCAUAGUCUGCAUCGGAAACUGCCGGGCUUGAGUGUGGGAGAGGUGAGUGGAAUUCCUGGUGUAGCGGUGAAAUGCGCAGAUAUCAGGAGGAACACCGGUGGCGAAGGCGGGUCUCUGGGCCGAUAUUGACGCUGAGGAGCGAAAGCGUGGGGAGCGAACAGG
rnacentral:rRNA from 1 species